rnacentral:rRNA from 1 species
GAUGAACGCUGGCGGCGUGCCUAAUACAUGCAAGUCGAGCGAACAGACGAGGAGCUUGCUCCUCUGACGUUAGCGGCGGACGGGUGAGUAACACGUGGAUAACCUACCUAUAAGACUGGGAUAACUUCGGGAAACCGGAGCUAAUACCGGAUAAUAUAUUGAACCGCAUGGUUCAAUAGUGAAAGACGGUUUUGCUGUCACUUAUAGAUGGAUCCGCGCCGCAUUAGCUAGUUGGUAAGGUAACGGCUUACCAAGGCAACGAUGCGUAGCCGACCUGAGAGGGUGGUCGGCCACACGGGAACUGGGACACGGUCCAGACGACUGAGGGAGGCAGCAGUAGGGAAUCUUCCGCAAUGGGCGAAAGCCUGACGGAGCAACGCCGCGUGAGUGAUGAAGGUCUUCGGAUCGUAAAACUCUGUUAUUAGGGAAGAACAAAUGUGUAAGUAACUAUGCACGUCUUGACGGUACCUAAUCAGAAAGCAACGGCUAACUACGUG